GAUGAACGCUGGCGGCGUGCCUAAUACAUGCAAGUCGAGCGAACGGACGAGAAGCUUGCUUCUCUGAUGUUAGCGGCGGACGGGUGAGUAACACGUGGAUAACCUACCUAUAAGACUGGGAUAACUUCGGGAAACCGGAGCUAAUACCGGAUGAUAUUUUGAACCGCAUGGUUCAAAAGUGAAAGACGGUCUUGCUGUCACUUAUAGAUGGAUCCGCGCUGCAUUAGCUAGUUGGUAAGGUAACGGCUUACCAAGGCAACGAUGCAUAGCCGACCUGAGAGGGUGAUCGGCCACACUGGAACUGAGACACGGUCCAGACUCCGACGGGAGGCAGCAGUAGGGAAUCUUCCGCAAUGGGCGAAAGCCUGACGGAGCAACGCCGCGUGAGUGAUGAAGGUCUUCGGAUCGUAAAACUCUGUUAUUAGGGAAGAACAUAUGUGUAAGUAACUGUGCACAUCUUGACGGUACCUAAUCAGAAAGCCACGGCUAACUACGUG
rnacentral:rRNA from 1 species